GAAAAAUGAAAAACAUGGUUGGCUCAUCAAUCACAGAUGCAUUAAUGUCAUCUCAGUGUCCUCAUGUGAAAGAAAAAGUAACUUUCUGCUUUGACUUCAGGAGAUAAAGCCUCAAGUCUAUGCUGAGAUGCUGCACAGUGUGUUGUGGUGUUUGGGACGGUGGAUCUCCCAGAGAGAAGAGCUUCUUGCUGACCUCUCAGAGGUAUCCAGAG
rnacentral:lncRNA from 12 species